rnacentral:rRNA from 1 species
GGUUAAGCGACUAAGCGUACACGGUGGAUGCCCUGGCAGUCAGAGGCGAUGAAGGACGUGCUAAUCUGCGAUAAGCGUCGGUAAGGUGAUAUGAACCGUUAUAACCGGCGAUUUCCGAAUGGGGAAACCCAGUGUGAUUCGUCACACUAUCAUUAACUGAAUCCAUAGGUUAAUGAGGCGAACCGGGGGAACUGAAACAUCUAAGUACCCCGAGGAAAAGAAAUCAACCGAGAUUCCCCCAGUAGCGGCGAGCGAACGGGGAGCAGCCCAGAGCCUGAAUCAGUGUGUGUGUUAGUGGAAGCGUCUGGAAAGGCGUGCGAUACAGGGUGACAGCCCCGUACACAAAAAUGCACAUACUGUGAGCUCGAUGAGUAGGGCGGGACACGUGGUAUCCUGUCUGAAUAUGGGGGGACCAUCCUCCAAGGCUAAAUACUCCUGACUGACCGAUAGUGAACCAGUACCGUGAGGGAAAGGCGAAAAGAACCCCGGCGAGGGGAGUGAAAAAGAACCUGAAACCGUGUACGUACAAGCAGUGGGAGCACGCUUAGGCGUGUGACUGCGUACCUUUUGUAUAAUGGGUCAGCGACUUAUAUUCUGUAGCAAGGUUAACCGAAUAGGGGAGCCGAAGGGAAACCGAGUCUUAACUGGGCGUUAAGUUGCAGGGUAUAGACCCGAAACCCGGUGAUCUAGCCAUGGGCAGGUUGAAGGUUGGGUAACACUAACUGGAGGACCGAACCGACUAAUGUUGAAAAAUUAGCGGAUGACUUGUGGCUGGGGGUGAAAGGCCAAUCAAACCGGGAGAUAGCUGGUUCUCCCCGAAAGCUAUUUAGGUAGCGCCUCGUGAAUUCAUCUCCGGGGGUAGAGCACUGUUUCGGCAAGGGGGUCAUCCCGACUUACCAACCCGAUGCAAACUGCGAAUACCGGAGAAUGUUAUCACGGGAGACACACGGCGGGUGCUAACGUCCGUCGUGAAGAGGGAAACAACCCAGACCGCCAGCUAAGGUCCCAAAGUCAUGGUUAAGUGGGAAACGAUGUGGGAAGGCCCAGACAGCCAGGAUGUUGGCUUAGAAGCAGCCAUCAUUUAAAGAAAGCGUAAUAGCUCACUGGUCGAGUCGGCCUGCGCGGAAGAUGUAACGGGGCUAAACCAUGCACCGAAGCUGCGGCAGCGACGCUUAUGCGUUGUUGGGUAGGGGAGCGUUCUGUAAGCCUGCGAAGGUGUGCUGUGAGGCAUGCUGGAGGUAUCAGAAGUGCGAAUGCUGACAUAAGUAACGAUAAAGCGGGUGAAAAGCCCGCUCGCCGGAAGACCAAGGGUUCCUGUCCAACGUUAAUCGGGGCAGGGUGAGUCGACCCCUAAGGCGAGGCCGAAAGGCGUAGUCGAUGGGAAACAGGUUAAUAUUCCUGUACUUGGUGUUACUGCGAAGGGGGGACGGAGAAGGCUAUGUUGGCCGGGCGACGGUUGUCCCGGUUUAAGCGUGUAGGCUGGUUUUCCAGGCAAAUCCGGAAAAUCAAGGCUGAGGCGUGAUGACGAGGCACUACGGUGCUGAAGCAACAAAUGCCCUGCUUCCAGGAAAAGCCUCUAAGCAUCAGGUAACAUCAAAUCGUACCCCAAACCGACACAGGUGGUCAGGUAGAGAAUACCAAGGCGCUUGAGAGAACUCGGGUGAAGGAACUAGGCAAAAUGGUGCCGUAACUUCGGGAGAAGGCACGCUGAUAUGUAGGUGAAGUCCCUCGCGGAUGGAGCUGAAAUCAGUCGAAGAUACCAGCUGGCUGCAACUGUUUAUUAAAACACAGCACUGUGCAAACACGAAAGUGGACGUAUACGGUGUGACGCCUGCCCGGUGCCGGAAGGUUAAUUGAUGGGGUCAGCGCAAGCGAAGCUCUUGAUCGAAGCCCCGGUAAACGGCGGCCGUAACUAUAACGGUCCUAAGGUAGCGAAAUUCCUUGUCGGGUAAGUUCCGACCUGCACGAAUGGCGUAAUGAUGGCCAGGCUGUCUCCACCCGAGACUCAGUGAAAUUGAACUCGCUGUGAAGAUGCAGUGUACCCGCGGCAAGACGGAAAGACCCCGUGAACCUUUACUAUAGCUUGACACUGAACAUUGAGCCUUGAUGUGUAGGAUAGGUGGGAGGCUUUGAAGUGUGGACGCCAGUCUGCAUGGAGCCGACCUUGAAAUACCACCCUUUAAUGUUUGAUGUUCUAACGUUGACCCGUGAUCCGGGUUGCGGACAGUGUCUGGUGGGUAGUUUGACUGGGGCGGUCUCCUCCUAAAGAGUAACGGAGGAGCACGAAGGUUGGCUAAUCCUGGUCGGACAUCAGGAGGUUAGUGCAAUGGCAUAAGCCAGCUUGACUGCGAGCGUGACGGCGCGAGCAGGUGCGAAAGCAGGUCAUAGUGAUCCGGUGGUUCUGAAUGGAAGGGCCAUCGCUCAACGGAUAAAAGGUACUCCGGGGAUAACAGGCUGAUACCGCCCAAGAGUUCAUAUCGACGGCGGUGUUUGGCACCUCGAUGUCGGCUCAUCACAUCCUGGGGCUGAAGUAGGUCCCAAGGGUAUGGCUGUUCGCCAUUUAAAGUGGUACGCGAGCUGGGUUUAGAACGUCGUGAGACAGUUCGGUCCCUAUCUGCCGUGGGCGCUGGAGAACUGAGGGGGGCUGCUCCUAGUACGAGAGGACCGGAGUGGACGCAUCACUGGUGUUCGGGUUGUCAUGCCAAUGGCACUGCCCGGUAGCUAAAUGCGGAAGAGAUAAGUGCUGAAAGCAUCUAAGCACGAAACUUGCCCCGAGAUGAGUUCUCCCUGACUCCUUGAGAGUCCUGAAGGAACGUUGAAGACGACGACGUUGAUAGGCCGGGUGUGUAAGCGCAGCGAUGCGUUGAGCUAACCGGUACUAAUGAACCGUGAGGCUUAACCUU